rnacentral:tRNA from 1 species
UGCAUCGGCCGGGAAUCGAACCUGGGCCGCCCGCGUGGCAGGCGAGCAUUCUACCACUGAACCGCCGAUGG